rnacentral:sRNA from 1 species
AUUCGAAUCUGCAGCAGGUUCGAGUCGAACGCAGUGAGACAACGGAGCCGCUCGCGGCGACGGCCCGGAGGGCGAGGCGAAGCCGAGUCAUCCUGCACGACCCACCA